rnacentral:misc_RNA from 1 species
AAACAUUUUACAAAGUACUGGAUAGUGAGACGUGAAGUUUCUUCUGGGAAAUAUAUCCCUCCAAGAUGGUUUUGUCACUACAGCUAAAAAUCUUCUUGCAGUACAAUAGCUGGCCUUGAAAUGCCAUACCAUUAAAAUGUAGUGAAUCUAAGACAAGACAUGUCAUUAUUAAAGUUCUGUACCAAAAUGAAAGAUGCAGUAAACAAGGUGAAAUACUGUAACAUGUAGAGAAACUGCUGAGAUCUCAUAAGCAGUAUGCAUAGCAUAAAUAAUUAUUCCAGUGGAUAUUGGGAAUUCAUCAACAGCAUUAGAGCCUUUCACGAUGUCUUGGCCUUUGGCGGUGCUGGGAGCAACUGAUAACAUGAUAUCAAGGAGCUAACAAAUCCAAAGGCUCCUGUUACGCGGGGAGUGACUUUCUUAGGUGCCAAUUGGAGCAAUCCGACAGCAACUACUAUAUCAAUGCCUGCUUUAAUCAGGGCUAGAGACCUCUCAUUUGACUUCUGAAGCUUAAUCCUGUACUGCUCAUCCUUGUAUUUGUCGCUAUUCUUGAGUUCCUUCUCCAGCUUUUUCAUUGAUGCAGAAAGUCUUCCAAUCUCCCCAAUCUCCACUAAUGUAGUACAUAUUGAGGAACCCAUCCAACAAAAGAGAGAGAUCCUGCCAAGUAAAUCAGUGCGUUCUUUGUUCUUGUAAAUGCCUGUCCUUCCAAGCCACACAAAUUGAUCCAGAAACAAGAAAGUCGAUAGCAAUGCAUUUUUAGACUUCCCCAACAAGAUGAGUGGAAGUGGGGUUCCUGGGGCAGGUGGACUAAUAAGCCCGUGCAGAUCAUUGAUGAACUUGAAAAGACGGAAUACUUUCCUUGCUAAGCUAGUUGAUUUGUCAACAUUUUGAGCAGUGCCAGGCUCUCCAUUACUCACAAAUUUUGAACCAUACUGUAUUGCCCUGCAUAUCUUGUCCCUUGCCUCUGCUUUGUUCAAGUACAAGACUGCAAGGGCAAGCUCUGCUCUGGCUGCAUCCAAGGCACUCAUUUUACUCUACAAAUAGGGGAUUCGUGCCACAGCGUCUUUGCCUUGAAAUUUACACCACCUAUAAGAUGGAACAGUUUAUUGGUAGCGUCUGAGCUGUUUGUUCAAUCUUGUAAGUUGUAAUACAAUAUGGG